rnacentral:rRNA from 1 species
UACGUAGGGGGCAAGCGUUGUCCGGAUUUAUUGGGCGUAAAGAGCGUGUAGGCGGCCAGGUAGGUCUGCUGUGAAAACUCGAGGCUCAACCUCGAGAUGUCGGCGGAAACCAUCUGGCUAGAGUCCGGAAGAGGAGAAUGGAAUUCCCGGUGUAGCGGUGAAAUGCGCAGAUAUCAGGAAGAACACCAAUGGCGAAGGCAGCUCUCUGGGACGGUACUGACGCUGAGACGCGAAAGCGUGGGGAGCGAACAGG